rnacentral:lncRNA from 1 species
GAGAAAUUUGCUUGGAGCUGCCUGUUACAUUCAUUUCAUGUAGAAGUGGCUCAAACCGCUGAUUAUAUGACCUUUGUGCACAUAAUUUAUCUUCCUUGAAAAUGUUACCUUCAAAGCCUCGAUAACUUUUUAACUUUUCACUGUAGGAAUGUGAAAUCAAACAGAAUCAGAAAACCAGCAGAAUAUUUUAAAAGGAUGGAAGCAGACUAAACUAUUUCAAUCACAUAAACAACUUCUACUCUCAGAUCUUGCUUACAUUAGAUACAGCAUCAUGUAAGAUUGUUACCAGAGUGAAGCUACUAACAGAUGUCAUUUAAAUAUAAGGUCAAGAAAAAAACAAAAGGAGGUUGAACAAAAUAUCAGAAUCAAGGUUAGAAGUCAUUGACCUUGGACUGUGUUCUGAUGAUUAAAUCUUACUACAUAUGAUUUUCAAUUCCUAUUUUUCUUGAAUUUUCUGAAGAAAAAGUAAGUAAUAUUCACAAAUGCACACUUUGGAGUGCUUAACAUUAACCAUGUGAUGCAGGUUAUUGUGUAGCUGUACCUGUUAAGUGCAGGACUGAGUUUGACUAGCUUGCCUUGGUGAAUAAUAUAUAGUUAAUAGUACUUGCAGCAGCUAAAAUGCUCUCCUACUCUUUUUUUUUAGUUUUG